AGUGAACGCUGGCGGCGUGCCUAAUACAUGCAAGUCGAACGAUGAAGUCCUAGCUUGCUAGGAUGGAUUAGUGGCGCACGGGUGAGUAAUAUAUAGUUAAUCUGCCCUACACAGAGGAACAACAGUUGGAAACGACUGCUAAUACCUCAUACUCCUAUUUGACAUAAGUUAAAUAGGGAAAGUCUUUUCGGUGUAGGAUGAGACUAUAUCGUAUCAGCUAGUUGGUAAGGUAAUGGCUUACCAAGGCUAUGACGCGUAACUGGUCUGAGAGGAUGAUCAGUCACAUUGGAACUGAGACACGGCCCAAACUCCUACGGGAGGCAGCAGUAAGGAAUAUUGCGCAAUGGGGGAAACCCUGACGCAGCAACGCCGCGUGGAGGAUGACACUUUUCGGAGCGUAAACUCCUUUUAUCAGGAAAGAAUAAUGACGGUACCUGAUGAAUAAGCACCGGCUAACUCCGUG
rnacentral:rRNA from 1 species